CUUUUGCUGGCGACCGGCGCACGGGUGAGUAACACGUAUCCAACCUGCCCUUUACUCGGGGAUAGCCUUUCGAAAGAAAGAUUAAUACCCGAUAGCAUAAUGAUUCCGCAUGGUUUCAUUAUUAAAGGAUUCCGGUAAAGGAUGGGGAUGCGUUCCAUUAGGUUGUUGGUGAGGUAACGGCUCACCUAGUCAACGAUGGAUAGGGGUUCUGAGAGGAAGGUCCCCCACAUUGGAACUGAGACACGGUCCAA
rnacentral:rRNA from 1 species